CUGUCAGGCCAUGCCCUCCACCAAGGUUCCCCAACAUUCUCCUGUUAUCUGUGAAUUCCUGAAUCUGCCCACUGUUAAGUUUCCUCUUUCUGCACAACCAUGGAAGGAGCAGAAACAGAGAAGGGUGGACCUAUUUUGGGAGGCAGCACCGUGCAUGGGAGUACCGAGGCACUCAGUUUACAGCCCCACAAUAUAAGAAAGAUAUAAAGCUACAAAGGAGGGCCACAAAGAUGCUAAAGGGUCUAGAGGAGAUGCCAUAUGAGGAACAGCUGAGGUCACUUGAUCUGUUCAGCCUGGAGGAGCCUGAGGGGAGACCUCACAGCAGUCAACAGCUUCCUCAAAAGGAUUAGCUUUUCAUCAUGCCAGAGUCCUCGAAGAAAGAGCCACAGGGGUGUUGGGUAUGGCAUACCAUGCUCACAUCACUUGUGAUUAUCAAACUGCUUCCAUAACAUAAGCACCCCUAACACAAACUGGAAAAGGAAAGUACAAGCUUGGUGACUUUUGAGUUUGUCACUGUAUUUUAAGAACUGUUCUGCCAAUGCACUUCUCUGAUAUGAGACUAAACUACAAGCCAUGAAACACUGUGAAUGGACAAGAAAUAAGAGCACUGUUCCCUGUUCACAGGCACAGAAUAACUUUGCAAAUUUGCACUUUAGGGCAGUGGAAACAGAAA